rnacentral:rRNA from 1 species
GACAGAGGGUGCAAACGUUGCUCGGAAUCACUGGGCGUAAAGGGCGUGUAGGCGGGAAGGAUAGUCAGAUGUGAAAGCCCUGGGCCCAACCCAGGAACUGCAUUUGAAACUCCCUUUCUUGAGUGUCGGAGAGGAAAGCGGAAUUCCUGGUGUAGAGGUGAAAUUCGUAGAUAUCAGGAGGAACACCGGUGGCGAAGGCGGCUUUCUGGACGACAACUGACGCUGAGACGCGAAAGCGUGGGGAGCAAACAGG